rnacentral:rRNA from 1 species
UACGAAGGGGGGCUAGCGUUGCUCGGAAUCACUGGGCGUAAAGCGCACGUAGGCGGCUUCUUAAGUCAGGGGUGAAAUCCUGGAGCUCAACUCCAGAACUGCCUUUGAUACUGAGAAGCUUGAGUCCGGGAGAGGUGAGUGGAACUGCGAGUGUAGAGGUGAAAUUCGUAGAUAUUCGCAAGAACACCAGUGGCGAAGGCAGCUCGCUGGGACGGUACUGAC